UGGUGCCUACGGGGGGCAGCAGUGAGGAAUAUUGGUCAAUGGGCGGGAGCCUGAACCAGCCAAGUCGCGUGAGGGAUGACGGCCCUAUGGGUUGUAAACCUCUUUUGCCGGGGAGCAAAGGCGGGGACGCGUCCCCGGAUGAGUGUACCUGAAGAAAAAGCAUCGGCUAACUCCGUGCCAGCAGCCGCGGUAAUACGGAGGAUGCGAGCGUUAUCCGGAUUUAUUGGGUUUAAAGGGUGCGCAGGCGGUCUGUUUAGUCAGCGGUCAAGCCCGGGGCUCAACCCCGGCCCG
rnacentral:rRNA from 1 species